ensembl:ribozyme RNaseP_nuc Nuclear RNase P
AAGGUCAGAGCACACAGGCAUCCAGGGCCCCUAGAAAGUCUAAGUCUUCUGUGGCAGUAACUGGGCUCUUCCUGAGUGAGAAGGUGAGUUCCCAGAAAGCAUGGCUCCAUGCCUGGACAGACUGGACAGGAGAGACCCCGAGUGGUCAAAUGUAUUUCUCACUAGGGCUUGGAACAGACUCAUGACCACUCAUUUUGCUCAGUAAAUGGUUAUUCUUCUUGCCAGAAUAUGUGUUCACUCCUUGUCUGAAAAGAUGCAAUCUCUGAGUUGUAACCCACUCCUG